rnacentral:rRNA from 1 species
UAUUAGAUACCCGGGUAGUCCCAGCUGUAAACGAUGCGCGUUAGGUGUAUCGGUGACCACGAGUCACCGAGGUGCCGAAGAGAAAUCGUGAAACGUGCCGCCUGGGAAGUACGGUCGCAAGGCUGAAACUUAAAGGAAUUGGCGGGGGAGCACCACAACAGGUGGAGCCUGCGGUUUAAUCGGACUCAACGCCGGGAAGCUCACCGGAUAAGACAGCUGAAUGAUAGCCGGGUUGAAGACUCUGCUUGACUAGCUGAGAGGUGGUGCAUGGCA